AUACAAUACUUUAGCACAGUCUAUCCGUCUCCAUCAAUGGUGGUUUUAGUGGAGCUUCACGUAAACCCACCACACCCAUUCUCUCUCUCUUUCUCUUUCUCUUCUAUCACCUUUACCUUCUCUGUCUUAGAGAAACGAAAGGAAAAACAAGUAACAAACUUUUUUUUUACGCAAACCCACUAUACCCAAAUAUCCCUUUUUUUUUUAUUUGCUUUUGAGGCAAAGAAAGGAAAACCCAAAAAUUUUUACAUGAAAUUGGAUCCAACUUUAUUAUAAAAUCCUUCCUUAAUAAAUAUUUACAAAAACUUCCAAUUUAUUUCUCUUUAUAUUCCAACAACGGCAAAAAAUUCAUGGGAAACAUCGGAAGUAGCGGAGUGCAUGGCCGGCGAAGGCACGGAAGCCGGCGAAACCACCCUCCGCCACCACAGCUAGCACCUCCAGCACAGCCGCAACCUGAGAUCUCCGCCAACCGUUACGUCUUUGCCGCCGCCACUCCUUACCCGCCCCAAUACUACCAGUAUCCAGGCUACUACCCGACUCAGCCGCCGGUACCGUUGCCUCUUCCGGCGCCGUAUGAUCAUCAUCAUCGAGGUGGGCCCCACAUAGAGCCCGCAAAUUGGAGUAUGUUUGUGUAUGGGCCAAUGAUGCCACCGCCUCCGGUGCCUUAUAUAGAGUAUCAGAAGGCGGUUACGAUAAGGAAUGAUGUUAACUUGAAGAAGGAAACUUUGAAAUUGGAAGCUGAUGAGGAGAAUCCUGGGAAGUUCCUGGUAUCUUUCACGUUUGAUGCUACUGCUGCUGGAAGGAUGACUGUUAUUUUGUUUGCAAAAGAAGGUCACGACUGCACUCUGACUCCGAUGAAGGAAAGUAUUCUACCACCAGUAACUGUGCCUUUUGAACAAGGUCUAGGACAGAAGUUCAGACAGCCCUCUGGAACGGGGAUUGAUUUCUCUAUGUUUGAGGAGUCAGAAUUACUGAAAGUAGAUCAGAUUGAUAUUUAUCAUCUGGCAGUGAAAGCAGAGGCAUUGCCCGUCAACCAGAAUGGGUCAGAUGGAAACCAAGUAUCAGGAGCCAUGAAUUCUCAGAUAACUCAAGCGGUGUUUGAAAAGGAGAAGGGUGAAUACCAGACGAGAGUAUUGAAACAGAUUCUGUGGGUGAAUGGGAUGAGGUAUGAGCUGCAAGAAAUAUAUGGGAUUGGAAAUUCAGUUGAUAAUGAUGUUGAUGCAAAUGAUCCUGGAAAAGAAUGUGUUAUUUGCCUUUCAGAGCCUCGGGACACAACUGUUCUUCCCUGCAGGCACAUGUGCAUGUGCAGCUCCUGCGCAAAGGUUUUGAGUUGCCAAACUAACCGGUGCCCAAUUUGUAGGCAACCAGUUGAGAGGCUUUUGGAGAUAAAGGUCAACAAUGGCCCUGAUGAAUGAGAUGAGAACAUGUUUCUUGAGCUAUCUUCCUGUAUAGUAGCUUGUUGAUGUCUUUCUUUUUCCUUUUUUAUCCUUUUCUCUUAUCACUUUUCAUUUUGCCCUUUUGUCCUCCUCUCUUUUGUUUUGCGUGUCAGGCCUUUCCAAUAUUCAAACGGAAAGUUAUAAUUAAGUAUGCUACAUGCCUGCUAAAAUCCUGAUAAUAGUCAUCGAGUGCCUUGAAUUUCAUGGCUUUGGGCUGGACGUACUUGGAAGUGGUCAUUCUUGUGAUGCACCAGACGAGUCAACAAGCAACAACCAAUCCGGGAUGUAACUUGUAGGUUUUUGCUUUGCCUAACUUCUUUGGGACGAUCAGUUGAAAACUGACAGGAAACAAGGACUUUCACUUCAUCCAUUGUCAUUGUGCAUCGCGCGUUAAAAUAUAUUGAUGUGCUUAUCCUGUUUGUUUUAUUGGGCCACACGUGAU